rnacentral:rRNA from 1 species
GAUUAACGCUAGCGGCAGGCCUAAUACAUGCAAGUCGAACGGGAUUCAAAGUAGCAAUAUUUUGAUGAGAGUGGCGCACGGGUGAGUAACACGUAUGCAAUUUACCUUUAACUGGGGGAUAGCUCUCCGAAAGGAGGAUUAAUACCGCAUAAUAUAUUGAAAUGGCAUCAUUUUAAUAUUAAACCUACGGGGGUUAAAGAUGAGCAUGCAUCCGAUUAGCUAGUUGGUGUGGUAACGGCUCACCAAGGCAACGAUCGGUAGGGGGUCUGAGAGGAUGAUCCCCCACACUGGUACUGAGACACGGACCAGACUCCUACGGGAGGCAGCAGUAAGGAAUAUUGGACAAUGGAGGCAACUCUGAUCCAGCCAUGCCGCGUGAAGGAUUAAGGCCCUAUGGGUUGUAAACUUCUUUUAGACGGACGAAACCCUUAACCGUUACGUAAGGGUUAAGGUAGUGGUACGUAGUCGUACGAAUAAAGUACGACUACGGUCCGGUAACUUACCGUUGGUCCGACGACGACGACCGGCCGGGUAACCGUAACCGACGGAA